AAGGGAGAAGGGAGAAGGGUAAUCCCCAUAUCGUAUUCUCUAAUAACAACGUUGCUUAAAGCAACACAAAUUUUAUUGUAGCCUGAAGGAGGAAGAUUGAGCUUGACAUGGACUUUGAGUCCAUGCAGCAACGUUUCUCUCUCGAGAAAAGAAAUGAUGCUCUCUUUAUUAACUGGGUGAACUUGCUAAGUCGUAGUGGGAAGUGGCUAUCCAGAUAGACUUAAGUUGAUUCGGAAUUGGAAAGUAAAUAAAUUUGAGGAGGAACACAACCAUGAACUUGCUGAGAAGAUGUGGUUGGUUUUCUUCGCUUACUUUCGAAGUUUGAUAGUGUCAAGAGGCAUGAGUUUGGCAACAUGGGAGAUUGUGAUAUACAGAAGCAGCAGAUCAUUGAUCAUGAGGAGUAUCAGAAUAAUGGAUAUGAGAACAUGGGUUGCACUCGGAUGGACCUUUGUAAUGUAACUUAUCAGACAAACAAAGAGAAGACUGACGAGGGCAAUACAGCCAUUGUCGUCAAAGAAAUGAAGCAUAGGAAAUGUACUGGAUGAUGAAUCUUUGGGUAGUUCUAUAUACACCCCCCCUAUUGCUCAGGACACCCCCCAAAAACCCAAAAAAAAUACCCAAACUAACCUUUAGUGUAAUUACCAUAUUGCCCUUGAGAUUUUCUCAUACACCCCCCUUCCUCCUCCUCCGUUUCGUUUUGAAAAGAAAAAAAAAACCCCCCUCAAACCCCCCUUAAACCCCUCGAUCCAUUUACAUCGUUUAGGCGAUCUUUGAAGGAGAUUUAAGCCCC
rnacentral:lncRNA from 1 species